UGGGGAAUCUUGGACAAUGGGGGCAACCCUGAUCCAGCCAUGCCGCGUGAGUGAUGAAGGCCUUAGGGUCGUAAAGCUCUUUCGCCUGUGAAGAUAAUGACGGUAGCAGGUAAAGAAACCCCGGCUAACUCCGUGCCAGCAGCCGCGGUAAUACGGAGGGGACUAGCGUUGUUCGGAAUUACUGGGCGUAAAGAGUUCGUAGGCGGACUAGCAAGUUAGAGGUGAAAUCCCAGGGCUCAACCUUGGAACUGCCUUUAAAAGCUGCUAGUCUAGAGACCGGAAGAGGUUAGGGGAAUACCUAGUGUAGAGGUGAAAUUCGUAGAUAUUUGGAGGAACACCAGUGGCGAAGGCGGCUCACUGGCUCGAUACUGACGCUGAGGUGCG
rnacentral:rRNA from 1 species